rnacentral:rRNA from 1 species
UACGGGGGGGGCAAGCGUUGUUCGGAAUUACUGGGCGUAAAGGGCUCGUAGGCGGCCAACUAAGUCAGACGUGAAAUCCCUAGGCUCAACCUAGGAACUGCGUCUGAUACUGGAUGGCUUGAAUCCGGGAGAGGGAUGCAGAAUUCCAGGUGUAGCGGUGAAGUGCGCAGAUAUCAGGAAGAACACCCGUGGCGAAAGCGGCUCUCUGGAACGGUACUGACGCUGAGACGCGAAAGCGUGGGGAGCGAACGGG